AGCAGUGUGGCUCGGUGGUACAGCAGGGCUGCAACCCAGAGGUCACGGGUUCGAUUCCCAAGCGGAGCGCUGCUG